CCCCGAGUCUCCCGAGUCUCGCCCCCCCAGUCCCUCCCGAGGUCUCCCCGAGUCUCCCCCGACGUCUCCCCCCGAGUCUCCCCGAUUCCCCCCGAGUCUCCCCCCGAGUCUCCCCGAGUCUCCCCGAGUCUCCCCCGAGUCCCCCCGAGUUCCUCCGAGUGUUCUCCGAGUCUCCCCGAGUCUCCCCGAGUCCCCCCGAGUCUCCCGAGUGUCUCAGAGUCUCCCCGAGUCUCCCCGAGACUCCCGAGUCUCCCCGAGUCUCCCCCGAGUCACCCCGAGUCCCCCCGAGUCCCCCCGAGUCCCCCCGAGUGUCUCCGAAGUCUCCUCACUGUUCUGAUUUUGUUUGUUAGACCCAAAGGAGGCGAAACCGACGCCAAGGAAACCAUCGCGGGGCGGUAACGACUUUGAUCUGAGUGACGCCCUGGACGGAGACGACCCCAACCCGUCCAGACCCCGGGACCAGCCGAAGCCGGAUCCGAAGCCGCGGCCGCCGCCCGGAGGCAAUUUCUCCAUCACCGACCUGGAGGACGCGGCCGGCGGGAAGGGCGGAGGCGGCAGCCGAGGGGGUCCUGAACCAGAGCCGGAAGCCGGAGGGUCCCCCCAGGGCCUGGUUCCCGGCAUCGUGGGCGCCGUGGUCGCCGCCCUGGCCGGCGCGGUGUCGAGCUUCGUGGCCUAUCAGAAGCGGCGGCUGUGCUUCCGGGAGAGCGGUGAGGGCGGGGCCCCGGGAGGGGCGGGGCUUCCGUGCCCUGACUGACAGCGGCGGGGCAGAUACCCGGGAGGGGCGUGGCUACAAUCGGGAACCCCCUUCACUGCCUUGUGACGUCAUUCACCACCCGGGCUGGGUCUCCAGUGACGUCAGCCAGGGGCAUCACCUGAGCGGAGCCUGUCAAUCACGUCACGGAGCAGCCGGAACUUCCUGCCCCACCAUCCACUUCCCGGGCCCCGCCCCUGAGUCCCCUGGCAUCACCGUCGCCCUAACUUCCGGUUCUCUCCCCUCAGGCCCCGCCCCCGUGUAGCCGGUUCCGCCCAGUGACGACUCCCGUGAUGCUCGGCAGAGAGGAAGAACCCGAGGCCACGCCCUCAUGCGCGUGACGUCAGCGCUCUGACAUCUCCGGGCUCCGCCCACAAUCCCCGGGCCAGGGCCUCAGGCCCUCAUUUGCAUAUGCAAAUCGCCAAAGCCUUAACCCUGCCGCUCAUUUGCAUAAGGAGCGCUCUGAGGGGCGGGGCCUGUGGUGCCAAUCAGAGCCGGGGGCUCAUCCGCAUGGCCACGCCCCCCGCGCAGCCGGCGCCGGCUCAUUUACAUAUCAGGAAAUGAAAAAGUCCUGGUGCUUUCGGGGGCGGAGCCUCGGUUCCGGCCCCGCCCAGCUCAUUUGCCUGUGGGGAAUCCCCGCCAGCUCAUUUGCAUAUCUGAAACUCAGCCCCGCCCCCGCGCUGCUUCCAGUGCCUCAUUAGCAUAUCUGCACUGACGUCGGGGGCAGGGCCUGCGGCUUCUUCCCAUCACUAGGGACCCCGCCCCUCAUUUGCUUCCUGCUGCUGCCUUAACGUAAGGGGCGGGGCCGUGACGUCAGGAGCGUGGCGGCCCCUGCGGGAGACCCCGGUGCCAAUAAAAUAAAAACCCGGAAUAAACGGGUUGAACGC
rnacentral:lncRNA from 1 species